AGCGUACACGGUGGAUGCCCUGGCAGUCAGAGGCGAUGAAGGACGUGCUAAUCUGCGAUAAGCGUCGGUAAGGUGAUAUGAACCGUUAUAACCGGCGAUUUCCGAAUGGGGAAACCCAGUGUGAUUCGUCACACUAUCAUUAACUGAAUCCAUAGGUUAAUGAGGCGAACCGGGGGAACUGAAACAUCUAAGUACCCCGAGGAAAAGAAAUCAACCGAGAUUCCCCCAGUAGCGGCGAGCGAACGGGGAGCAGCCCAGAGCCUGAAUCAGUGUGUGUGUUAGUGGAAGCGUCUGGAAAGGCGCGCGAUACAGGGUGACAGCCCCGUACACAAAAAUGCACAUGCUGUGAGCUCGAUGAGUAGGGCGGGACACGUGGUAUCCUGUCUGAAUAUGGGGGGACCAUCCUCCAAGGCUAAAUACUCCUGACUGACCGAUAGUGAAUCAGUACCGUGAGGGAAAGGCGAAAAGAACCCCGGCGAGGGGAGUGAAAAAGAACCUGAAACCGUGUACGUACAAGCAGUGGGAGCACGCUUAGGCGUGUGACUGCGUACCUUUUGUAUAAUGGGUCAGCGACUUAUAUUCUGUAGCAAGGUUAACCGAAUAGGGGAGCCGAAGGGAAACCGAGUCUUAACUGGGCGUUAAGUUGCAGGGUAUAGACCCGAAACCCGGUGAUCUAGCCAUGGGCAGGUUGAAGGUUGGGUAACACUAACUGGAGGACCGAACCGACUAAUGUUGAAAAAUUAGCGGAUGACUUGUGGCUGGGGGUGAAAGGCCAAUCAAACCGGGAGAUAGCUGGUUCUCCCCGAAAGCUAUUUAGGUAGCGCCUCGUGAAUUCAUCUCCGGGGGUAGAGCACUGUUUCGGCAAGGGGGUCAUCCCGACUUACCAACCCGAUGCAAACUGCGAAUACCGGAGAAUGUUAUCACGGGAGACACACGGCGGGUGCUAACGUCCGUCGUGAAGAGGGAAACAACCCAGACCGCCAGCUAAGGUCCCAAAGUCAUGGUUAAGUGGGAAACGAUGUGGGAAGGCCCAGACAGCCAGGAUGUUGGCUUAGAAGCAGCCAUCAUUUAAAGAAAGCGUAAUAGCUCACUGGUCGAGUCGGCCUGCGCGGAAGAUGUAACGGGGCUAAACCAUGCACCGAAGCUGCGGCAGCGACACUAUGUGUUGUUGGGUAGGGGAGCGUUCUGUAAGCCUGUGAAGGUGUACUGUGAGGUAUGCUGGAGGUAUCAGAAGUGCGAAUGCUGACAUAAGUAACGAUAAAGCGGGUGAAAAGCCCGCUCGCCGGAAGACCAAGGGUUCCUGUCCAACGUUAAUCGGGGCAGGGUGAGUCGACCCCUAAGGCGAGGCCGAAAGGCGUAGUCGAUGGGAAACAGGUUAAUAUUCCUGUACUUGGUGUUACUGCGAAGGGGGGACGGAGAAGGCUAUGUUGGCCGGGCGACGGUUGUCCCGGUUUAAGCGUGUAGGCUGGUUUUCCAGGCAAAUCCGGAAAAUCAAGGCUGAGGCGUGAUGACGAGGCACUACGGUGCUGAAGCAACAAAUGCCCUGCUUCCAGGAAAAGCCUCUAAGCAUCAGGUAACAUCAAAUCGUACCCCAAACCGACACAGGUGGUCAGGUAGAGAAUACCAAGGCGCUUGAGAGAACUCGGGUGAAGGAACUAGGCAAAAUGGUGCCGUAACUUCGGGAGAAGGCACGCUGAUAUGUAGGUGAAGUCCCUCGCGGAUGGAGCUGAAAUCAGUCGAAGAUACCAGCUGGCUGCAACUGUUUAUUAAAAACACAGCACUGUGCAAACACGAAAGUGGACGUAUACGGUGUGACGCCUGCCCGGUGCCGGAAGGUUAAUUGAUGGGGUUAGCGCAAGCGAAGCUCUUGAUCGAAGCCCCGGUAAACGGCGGCCGUAACUAUAACGGUCCUAAGGUAGCGAAAUUCCUUGUCGGGUAAGUUCCGACCUGCACGAAUGGCGUAAUGAUGGCCAGGCUGUCUCCACCCGAGACUCAGUGAAAUUGAACUCGCUGUGAAGAUGCAGUGUACCCGCGGCAAGACGGAAAGACCCCGUGAACCUUUACUAUAGCUUGACACUGAACAUUGAGCCUUGAUGUGUAGGAUAGGUGGGAGGCUUUGAAGUGUGGACGCCAGUCUGCAUGGAGCCGGCCUUGAAAUACCACCCUUUAAUGUUUGAUGUUCUAACGUUGACCCGUGAUCCGGGUUGCGGACAGUGUCUGGUGGGUAGUUUGACUGGGGCGGUCUCCUCCUAAAGAGUAACGGAGGAGCACGAAGGUUGGCUAAUCCUGGUCGGACAUCAGGAGGUUAGUGCAAUGGCAUAAGCCAGCUUGACUGCGAGCGUGACGGCGCGAGCAGGUGCGAAAGCAGGUCAUAGUGAUCCGGUGGUUCUGAAUGGAAGGGCCAUCGCUCAACGGAUAAAAGGUACUCCGGGGAUAACAGGCUGAUACCGCCCAAGAGUUCAUAUCGACGGCGGUGUUUGGCACCUCGAUGUCGGCUCAUCACAUCCUGGGGCUGAAGUAGGUCCCAAGGGUAUGGCUGUUCGCCAUUUAAAGUGGUACGCGAGCUGGGUUUAGAACGUCGUGAGACAGUUCGGUCCCUAUCUGCCGUGGGCGCUGGAGAACUGAGGGGGGCUGCUCCUAGUACGAGAGGACCGGAGUGGACGCAUCACUGGUGUUCGGGUUGUCAUGCCAAUGGCACUGCCCGGUAGCUAAAUGCGGAAGAGAUAAGUGCUGAAAGCAUCUAAGCACGAAACUUGCCCCGAGAUGAGUUCUCCCUGACUCCUUGA
rnacentral:rRNA from 1 species